AUUGAACGCUGGCGGAAUGCUUUACACAUGCAAGUCGAACGGCAGCACGGGGCAACCUGGUGGCGAGUGGCGAACGGGUGAGUAAUACAUCGGAACGUGCCCAAUCGUGGGGGAUAACGUAGCGAAAGUUACGCUAAUACCGCAUACGAUCUAAGGAUGAAAGCGGGGGAUCGCAAGACCUCGCGCGAAUGGAGCGGCCGAUGUCAGAUUAGGUAGUUGGUGGGGUAAAGGCUCACCAAGCCGACGAUCUGUAGCUGGUCUGAGAGGACGACCAGCCACACUGGGACUGAGACACGGCCCAGACUCCUACGGGAGGCAGCAGUGGGGAAUUUUGGACAAUGGGCGAAAGCCUGAUCCAGCCAUUCCGCGUGCAGGAUGAAGGCCUUCGGGUUGUAAACUGCUUUUGUACGGAACGAAACGGUCUCCUCUAAUACAGGAGGCUAAUGACGGUACCGUAAGAAUAAGCACCGGCUAACUACGUG
rnacentral:rRNA from 1 species